rnacentral:rRNA from 1 species
UACAGAGGUGGCAAGCGUUGUUCGGAAUUACUGGGCGUAAAGGGCGCGUAGGCGGUUCGUUAAGUCCUGUGUGAAAUCCCCCGGCUCAACUGGGGAACUGCACAGGAAACUAGCGGGCUUGAGUUCGGGAGAGGGAAGCGGAAUUCCGGGUGUAGCGGUGAAAUGGCGUAGAUAUCCGGAGGAACACCGGUGGCGAAGGCGGCUUCCUGGACCGAGCACUGACGCUGAGGCGCGAAAGCGUA